rnacentral:rRNA from 1 species
UACAGAGGUCUCAAGCGUUGUUCGGAUUCAUUGGGCGUAAAGGGUGCGUAGGUGGCGCGCUAAGUCAGGUGUGAAAUUUCGGAGCUUAACUCCGAAACUGCAUUUGAUACUGGCGUGCUUGAGGACUGGAGAGGAGACUGGAAUUCAUGGUGUAGCAGUGAAAUGCGUAGAGAUCAGCAGGAACACCCGUGGCGAAGGCGGCCUUCUGGACAGUGACUGACGCUGAGACGCGAAAGCGUGGGGAGCGAACAGG